rnacentral:miRNA from 1 species
UAUGACACCUGAUGCAGAAUGAUAU